GACGAACGCUGGCGGCGUGCUUAACACAUGCAAGUCGAACGAAGUGGCGAACGGGUGAGUAACGCGUAAUCAACCUGCCCUUCAGAGGGGUACAACAGUUGGAAACGACUGCUAAUACCGCAUACUGAAGGAGGGGAUUGCGUCUGAUUAGCUAGUUGGAGGGGUAACGGCCCACCAAGGCGCUGAUCAGUAGCCGGGCUGGGAGGAUGGACGGGCAAAUUGGGACUGAGACACGGCCCAGACUCCUACGGGAGGCAGCAGUGGGGAAACUUCCGCAAUGGAGGAAAGGCCGACGGAGCAAAGCCGGGGGAGUGAUGACGGCCUUCGGGUUGUAAAGAUCUGUUAAUCGGGACGCGGUACCGGAAUAGAAAGCCACGGCUAACUACGUGCCAGCAGCCGCGGUAAUAC
rnacentral:rRNA from 1 species